rnacentral:rRNA from 1 species
UACGUAGGGGGCAAGCGUUGUCCGGAAUCAUUGGGCGUAAAGCGCGCGUAGGCGGCCCGGUAAGUCCGCUGUAAAAGUCCAGGGCUCAACCCUGGAAAGCCGGUGGAUACUGUCGGGCUAGAGUCCGGAAGAGGCGAGUGGAAUUCCUGGUGUAGCGGUGGAAUGCGCAGAUAUCAGGAGGAACACCGAUGGCGAAGGCAGCUCGCUGGGACGGUACUGACGCUGAGGUGCGAAAGCGUGGGGAGCGAACAGG